rnacentral:tRNA from 1 species
GUCCCUGUAGCUUAUAGUAAAGCAUGGCACUGAAGAUGCCAAGACGGUUGCCUUCAUCAUACCCAGGGACA